AGAAUUUGGGAGAAUACGCUAUCUUUUUAUGCAACAACCAAUCUCUUUGUCUCUCUUGUAAAGACUUACCUGAGUUGAAACCAAACCACAUCUAUUUCACUAAUGACUUCUGGUGGUGGAAUGAUCACCAUAGAGAGAAAUGCCGGGAUGUAAUCGUCUAUGAUUUGGAGAACAAUACCUUCUCAUAUAUUUUGCACUCUGAUGCUCGUCUAAACAUGCCACCUCCUAUUUGGAUCACUCCCAGUCCUCUGCUUAAUGACUGAUAGCUUCUUCUUCCUCCUCCGGAAGAAGCCAAUGAUAUCUAUAUGUACAAGUGAGUCACAGAAUCUUUUGCUUUCGAUCAUUCUCGUCUCUGAUCGGUUUGCCUACACCGAGGUGGAAGGCUUCGCUCUCUAAGGUCUGUCUGGUGGGAUGGGUUAUGGCCUUGAGCUUCUCCUCAAGAAUUAUUCUUAUUCUGUUUCAAGUCUUGUGUAAUAUGAAUCCUGAUCAGAUGAUGUGUAUGUUUUGUUCGGAGCCUGCUUUAUCUGAUAUGUUUAUAUCAAUGUUGGUUU